AUUGAACGCUGGCGGCAGGCCUAACACAUGCAAGUCGAACGAGUGGCGGACGGGUGAGUAAUGUCUGGGAAACUGCCCGAUGGAGGGGGAUCACUACUGGAAACGGUAGCUAAUACCGCAUACCAUCGGAUGGGUCCAGAUGGGAUUAGCUAGGAGGGUGGGGAACGGCUAACCUAGGCGACGAUCCCUAGCUGGUCUGAGAGGAUGACCAGCCACACUGGAACUGAGACACGGUCCAGACUCCUACGGGAGGCAGCAGUGGGGAAUAUGGCACAAUGGGCGAAAGCCUGAUGCAGCCAUGCCGCGUGUAUGAAGAAGGCCUUCGGGUUGUAAAGUACUUUCAGCUGGGAGGCGUUACUCGCAGAAGAAGCACCGGCUAACUCCGUGCCAGCAGCCGCGGUAAUAC
rnacentral:rRNA from 1 species